GACAAGCUCAGUUGGUUAAAGUGUGGUGCUAAUAACAUCAAGGUUGUGGGUUUGAUCUCCAUAUGGGGCAGCA